AAUAUGAGGAGCUGUGAUAUAAAACUUCUGGAGGCAUGAGGUCUGCUUCACUUGAUUGUCUUGCGCACUUGAACUUUCUUCAGAUGGCUCUUUCUUCCUGGGAGCCGGUUAAAUUGCUGCUAGGAAACCGAGGGGAUAACAUGGCAGCCUUUUAAUCUCCAAACACUUCUUUGAUGCUCCUCUGGGUUGUUGUCUGCAAUGGCACUGAAUUGUCAAACUAGAGCACCCGCUGCCUUUCCCCCUUAAUUCACAAGGUUUCUGGGUCUGCCUCACAGAAGUGACACUUAUGAAGAAGUAACCAUUGUACUUGGGGUCUUGUGAGCCACUUCAGAGAAGACCUCUGACAAUAUGUAAAACAAGUGUUAGGGGAGGAGAAGCAUUGCAAAGAUAAGAGUCUUGCGCUGGAAUAAGAUCAAGAACGUCUCCUUUUGUGUGUUUUACCACUACCCUGUGCUUAUUUCCUUUCAUCCUUUAUAGUUCAUCAAAGGAAAGCUUUCCAGGAAACAGGAGAGCAUAGCCUGAUUUGGCCUUUGGGCCAAAAGAAGAGCAGAACUGACAAUUAGCGAUGAGAGAAACCAGCCAUGUGAGAAAUCAGAUCAUGUAAAAACAAAACAAACAAGCAAAGCCAGAGACAGCAAGCCAGCAAGCAACUGUGGUGGUAAUUAUCUGUGGAUCACCUCAGAGUCAACCAGAUAGGAACAUUGCUUUGCAGAUUUGCCCCUCCCCAGUCAAGCCCUGUCCUCAUAGAUUCAGAAAAAUGAAGUACAUUUUUAGAAAUUCUCCCAUGUAUUUGGACUGGAUACUUUCUCAGAGGAUCAGGAACUGGAAGUAAUUUCUUUCAAACCAUCUAUAUACAGAAACUCACCACACUGAUGAAUUGGAUGUUAAUACCACCCCUGGUUUGUUUAUUCAUCAUAUUUGUAUCCUGUUCUCUUUUUGGGAAUUUCCUCAUUUUUUUUCUUCUCCCCAUUUUUAUCCUGAGUGCUGUGUGAGAUAGGUUAGAGGCUGCAACUGGGACCAGUUUACUGAAUUGUAAGUUCAGUAAGACAUCAGAGGAUAAGGAUGAUGCAGAGGAUGAUCCAGAACAGAGGAAGUCUUGUUGACAGACUGAUAAGUGAGCUCCAGUGCCACAGUCUAUUCCAAGCACUUCCUUGUGAUUCAGCCCUUGCCUAAGAGGCAUGUUUUCCCUUUGCUUGCCUUUCUUGCACUUCCCCCUCAGUUGUGCAAGACAGCCCUGCAGUUCCAGGGCUGCAAGCCUUGCUACCCACUGCAGCUUUUGUGCUUCCUUGCACACACGCCUUUCCCCGGGGAUCUUGCUGCUCUACAGGUAGCGCCUUUUGGGUCCUGUGGCCAAAUCUGGACCUCCAGGGUUCCUCACCCCACCUCUACUCUGUUACCCCAUCCACUGAUCAGCAGCUGUCUUCCAAGUGGGUGAAGGUUUCCACCACAUCCUAAAAGACUUAGUCACUGGCAGUAGGAUCUUAAUGGUAAAAUAUUCAGGCACUUUGGCACAGCUCCUUUCACUUUCUCCCCCAUCUGGAAUGCAGCAGCAGAGCAUCUAUCUCUCAAAUGGAGUGCAGACCUUGAAUUGAGAGAGGUCCUGCACCCCUCGUGCACCCAGCCUCACUCUGGAACUCAGAUGCAUCAAAAGGCCACAGAAUUGCCACCAGGGCUCAAGAAGUAUGGAUACACAUGACUGAACCAUUUUCCCCCAGAAGAUAUUUGAAGAACUGGGUAAAAUAAAGGAAGCUUGCAGAGAACUGAAGACAUACUCAACUCUUCUAGAACAUCAAAAGGCACAAGCGCCAUCAAGGACAGGCAAUCUAGUGCCUUCCAUGUGUUUGCACAAUCACUUGACACAGGCAGUUCUGACUAUGCUGAAUACUGGGUUGCCAACCUCUGGCCUGCACACUGGCCCAGUUCUGACCAUCAAGGAAACCAAGGGGUCAGAUCCAGACACUGUCAUGCUUAGAACAAACCCACUGAACACAACAGGACUUAAGAAGGUCAGGACUUACUAGUUAGAUGGAUUUCAAUGGGUGUGCUCUAAGUAUGCGGCAACCUGCCCGCCAGGCAUGGCUCUUGGAGGCCUUUUGUGUGCCCCAUGCAAUUACUGCUGCUGCUGCCUUUGCCAAUUUUACUGCCUACCCCCCAAGACUGCCACAGCUUCCAGUCUGUCACAGCUCUUCCAGUCUGCCACAGCUCUUUGGCAAGUCACAGAAGUGUAAUUUUCUUUGGGAGGGCACAAAACACUAAAAUAUGCGACUUAACAUCAAAUGUUUCUUUUUGCAAACCUCUUGACAGAAACACCUCCUCAGAACUUAGUCUGUGCUGGAGAAUAAAUUUUCUCUCUACACCCAAUUGUUCCAGUAUCCUUACAAAUCCUGAAUCCACCUGUCAAGGCAGUGGGUGGAUUUGCACAACACGACAAAGGGGUUUUUUUUAAAUGCAAGCUGGUCUGUCUUGUUGUCUGAACCCCGUCAGUGUGGUAUGUUUGGUUUUGAGAAACACA